rnacentral:rRNA from 1 species
GGCGAACGGGUGAGGAACACGUGAGGAAUCUGCCUUCCACUCUGGGAUAACUCCGGGAAACCGGGGCUAAUACCGGAUACUUUCAACUGGCGGCAUCGCCGGUUGAAGAAAGUUUUUCGGUGGAAGAUGACCUCGCGGCCUAUCAGCUUGUUGGUGAGGUAAUGGCUCACCAAGGCGACGACGGGUAGCCGGCCUGAGAGGGCGACCGGCCACACUGGGACUGAGACACGGCCCAGACUCCUACGGGAGGCAGCAGUGGGGAAUAUUGGGCAAUGGAGGAAACUCUGACCCAGCGACGCCGCGUGAGGGAUGAAGGCCUUCGGGUUGUAAACCUCUUUCAGCAGGGAAUAAGCGAAAGUGAAGGUACCUGCAGAAGAAGCACCGGCUAACUAUGUGCCAGCAGCCGCGGUAAUACAUAGGGUGCAAGCGUUGUCCGGAAUUAUUGGGCGUAAAGAGCUCGUAGGUGGUCGAUCACGUCGGAUGUGAAAAUCUGAGGCUUAACCUCAGACCUGCAUUCGAUACGGGUUGACUAGAGUGUGGUAGGGGAGACUGGAAUUCCUGGUGUAGCGGUGGAAUGCGCAGAUAUCAGGAGGAACACCGAUGGCGAAGGCAGGUCUCUGGGCCAUUACUGACACUGAGGAGCGAAAGUUCGGGGAGCGAACAGGAUU